rnacentral:lncRNA from 1 species
CCAGUCUCGAGAGAAAGAGGCAGAGAGAAGAGAGGAGGGGCAGAGAGAGCCAAAUUUUGCUGGCUUUGUUGUGGCCUCCUUCUGCCCCCUGUCAAGACUGGAGUCACUGAUCCCAGAUCUUCAGGAAUGGUAGGAAAAGACUGAAAAGCUGAAAUAACCGAAACCCAUGGUAUAUACAAGGCUUUAGAAACUCAGAAAGAUCUGCAACUCACCCAGUCACACAGCUAAAAAGAGACAGUGUCAAGUCAAGAAAGUUGGAUCCAAGCUGGGGUAAUAGCUCAAUGGAGCAGGACCACUUUCAUGAUCCUCAAAGGACUGCAGAGACGGCCCCAUUGGAAGAGCGCUUGCCUAGUAGACCUGGCUUUGAACACCAGCACUGCAUAAACCCACUGGGAUGGUGCAGGCCUCUACUCCCAGCAUGUAGGAGGACCAGGAGUUGAAGGACAUCCUCGGCUAUCUUGUGUAUUCAGGAGGGUCUACAAUGCAAAAGAUGUGAAUAAAUGAAAGAAUAAUUCUCUCACUUUAAUUUUCUUGUUUGAGCACUAAGUAAUUAGCUAACCACUAUGUAUAGCAAAUUCAAAAAAUUACUUGUAGAAAACUUUUAAGGCUAGUGUCUUUCAUUGUAAAUUAAAAUGAAAAUGUCUUGUAAGAAUACUCUUGAGAAAGUUGUUCAGAAUCCAGAUGGUGAGGGUGAGGCAGAGGGAGCACAAUUUCAAUGCCAACCUGAGUUACAUGGCAAGAUCAUUUCAGGAAUAAAACCAUAAAUGACCUGAGUACAGUGGCUCAUGCAAGCCAUCCCAGUCCUCAAGAGGCUGAGGGAGGAGGAUCAAUGAGUUUCAAGCCAAUUUGUAUUACAUAUUGAUUUCUAAACCAGUAUGGAUAACAGAGUGAAAUUCCGA